UGAACAUUUUCUCACAAAGAAUCCGUUUGUAGACAUGCACACUCAUUUAAUCUGGAGCUACGAAGAUUCAAGUACUUUGUCACUUCUCUGGAACAUUAUUCUAAGCAGAAUUAUUCCGAUUCAUAUAUUCUAAGAAUCUUGUGUGAAUUGUUUACGAGGAAAUUCUGACUGUCACAUUAACAAGGAUGAACACUCUUGACUCUGCUUCGGAUUCCCCAGUGAUAAUUGUAUCGAGUGAUGAAAGAGCUGACGGCGACAUUUUAAUGUAUGAUUGGCUUGGACCAUUGGAAUGAAGUCAUUUCAUGGUGCCACCACUUGGGAUGGUAUUAGCUGCAAAUAUAGACUUGUACUCAGCACUUAUUGCCUUUAAGAAGUAUGAGAUCCAUUUUGUGCUAACACCUACCGUGACACAGAAUCUUGGUUUAUGCAGUCUCAUAGGAGUAACCUAUCUAAAGCAUUUAGCAAUGGGAUUGGAACCUGCGACGUGUGACUCAUCUGAAGACUGAAUUUUGAUACCAAGCAUGACCAUGAUUUGCCAGAAGAUCAUCUGUUUGGAUGUGACAUGGAAUAAACAGCAUAGUGAAAAUAAGUCAAGUUUUGGUUUGUGAAGACAAUUUUUAAACACACUGUGUAUCAUUUUUAAAUUUUGAUUUGACAACAUAAAUCCACAAAUAUGAACAUAUCAAUUAAUUGCUCUCAGUUUUUCAAGUGAAAUAGUUUUUGUAACAGAAAUACAUGUACCAGUAAUUACAUUGGAAUAAAUGUUAUUUUUAAAUAUAAUAAUAUUUUGUUUGUGUAGCAUGUUGACCUCUUUAUUAAGGUCUUCCCUUUCAAAGUUUAGGCUUACUUAUUCUAAUGAUUAAGAUAGAUCCUCUGUCUUCAGCAGGAAUAUAAGAUCUUGUAAUACAUGUAUGUGUAUUUUUUACAGUAUAAUGUAAAAAAAAUUGUUAUUUUGGCACAUACAACUAAUUAAAGGCAUAAACAUGUGUAUGAUUCCAAGGAAUUCAGUACAUAGGGCAUGUACAUGUAGUUUUCUAAAACAAGAUUGAAGAGAUGUCCAGUCACAUUUCAAUGUCAACUGCAAAACUGUGCCUGUUGCAUACUUAUUAGCCCAUCUGAGCUAAAGGAACCAGUAAAUUUUUUAAAAACAUAAUUUUAUCCAUUAUCAUCAUUGUCUAAAAUUUCACAAUAUCAUUUUCCAGAACCAAAGUGAAACUUGGCACAGAGCAUCCUUAGUGUAGGGGAUUCAAAUUGUUCUUAUGCAGGGCAAUACCUUCAAAGAGAUUUGUUUCUUUAAUGCUGUAAAUGUAUUAUAUUUAGCUUGUACAAUAUUUGGUGGAAAUUGACUUUUGAAUAAGUUAGCGUAGAUAUUCUUAUUUAUGUUUAUGUACAAGACUUUUAGCUUUGUACUUGAUUUAGUGAUUGCUGCAUUCCGCCAAAGCCGCUAAAAAAGAAUACACAGCCAUAUGUAAUAUGUUUACAAUAUACCUUUCAGAGAAUUUUACACUCCUAUUGAGGUACCACCAGUUGCUAGUGGAAAGCUGCAAAUUCGAAACAUACACAACACAUUUCUGUGCGUUUAUU